GACGAACGCUGGCGGCGUGCCUAAUACAUGCAAGUAGAACGCACAGUUUAUACCGUAGCUUGCUACACCAUAAACUGUGAGUUGCGAACGGGUGAGUAACGCGUAGGUAACCUGCCUGGUAGCGGGGGAUAACUAUUGGAAACGAUAGCUAAUACCGCAUAAUAUUGAUUAUUGCAUGAUAAUUGUUUGAAAGUUGCUAUUGCUUCACUACCAGAUGGACCUGCGUUGUAUUAGCUAGUAGGUGAGGUAACGGCUCACCUAGGCGACGAUACAUAGCCGACCUGAGAGGGUGAUCGGCCACACUGGGACUGAGACACGGCCCAGACUCCUACGGGAGGCAGCAGUAGGGAAUCGUCGGCAAUGGACGAAAGUCUGACCGAGCAACGCCGCGUGAGUGAAGAAGGAUUUCGGAUCGUAAAGCUCUGUUGUAAGAGAAGAACGGGUGUGAGAGUGGAAAGUUCACACUGUGACGGUAUCUUACCAGAAAGGGACGGCUAACUACGUG
rnacentral:rRNA from 1 species